AGUCACUGACAUUAGAUACCCCGGUAGUCCCAGCCGUAAACUAUGCGCGUUAGGUGUACUGGUAACCACGUGUUACUGAUGCGCCGAAGAGAAAUCGUGAAACGCACCACCUGGGAAGUACGGUCGCAAGGCUGAAACUUAAAGGAAUUGGCGGGGGAGCACCACAACAGGUGGAGCCUGCGGUUUAAUUGGAUUCAACGCCGGACAUCUCACCGGAUAAGACAGCUGAAUGAUUGUCAAUCUGAAGGUUUUACAUGACUAGCUG
rnacentral:rRNA from 1 species